UGGGCGAAAGCCUGAUGCAGCAACGCCGCGUGAAGGAAGAAGGGUUUCGGCUCGUAAACUUCUAUCAACAGGGACGAAAAAAAUGACGGUACCUGAAUAAGAAGCCCCGGCUAACUACGUGCCAGCAGCCGCGGUAAUACGUAGGGGGCAAGCGUUAUCCGGAAUUACUGGGUGUAAAGGGAGAGUAGGCGGCAUGGUAAGUUAGAUGUGAAAGCCCGAGGCUUAACCUCGGGAUUGCAUUUAAAACUAUCAAGCUAGAGUACAGGAGAGGUAAGUGGAAUUCCUAGUGUAGCGGUGAAAUGCGUAGAUAUUAGGGAGAACACCAGUGGCGAAGGCGACUUACUGGACUGAAACUGACGCUGAGGCUCGAAAGCGUGGGGAGCGAACAGGAUUAGAUACCCUGGUAGUCCACGCUGUAAACGAUGAGUGCUAGGUGUCGGGGGGGAACCCUCGGUGCCGCAGCUAACGCAAUAAGCACUCCACCUGGGGAGU
rnacentral:rRNA from 1 species